rnacentral:rRNA from 1 species
CUAGCUUGCUGAUUUCCCUCCUUUCUUGUAGAACCGUAACGCCAUUAAUUUGGUGUUGCGGGGAAACAGGACUGUUACUUCUGAAAAAAUUAGAGUCGUUUAAAGCAGGCUAGCGCCUGAAUACAUUAGCAUGGAAUAAUGAAAUAGGACGUUCGAACCUAUUUUGUUGGUUUCUAGGAUUGACGUAAUGAUUAAUAGGGAUAGUUGGGGGCAUUAGUAUACAAUUGUCAGAGGUGAAAUUCUUGGAUUUAUUGAAGACUGACUACUGCGAAAGCAUUUGCCAAGGAUGUUUUCAUUAAUCAAGAACGAAAGUUAGGGGAUCGAAGACGAUCAGAUACCGUCGUAGUCUUAACCAUAAACUAUGCCGACUAGGGAUCGGAUGAUGUUA